rnacentral:rRNA from 1 species
AGCAAUACGAGCGGCAGACGGGUGAGUAACGCGUGGGAAUCUACCCAGCUCUACGGAAUAACUCAGGGAAACUUGUGCUAAUACCGUAUACGUCCGAUAGGAGAAAGAUUUAUCGGAGUUGGAUGAGCCCGCGUUGGAUUAGCUAGUUGGUGGGGUAAUGGCCUACCAAGGCGACGAUCCAUAGCUGGUCUGAGAGGAUGAUCAGCCACACUGGGACUGAGACACGGCCCAGACUCCUACGGGAGGCAGCAGUGGGGAAUAUUGGACAAUGGGCGCAAGCCUGAUCCAGCCAUGCCGCGUGGGUGAAGAAGGCCCUAGGG